rnacentral:rRNA from 1 species
UACGUAGGGUGCGAGCGUUGUCCGGAAUUACUGGGCGUAAAGAGCUCGUAGGUGGUUUGUCGCGUUGUUCGUGAAAUCUCACGGCUUAACUGUGAGCGUGCGGGCGAUACGGGCAGACUGGAGUACUGCAGGGGAGACUGGAAUUCCUGGUGUAGCGGUGGAAUGCGCAGAUAUCAGGAGGAACACCGGUGGCGAAGGCGGGUCUCUGGGCCGAUAUUGACGCUGAGGAGCGAAAGCGUGGGGAGCGAACAGG